CAGUAGCCGCGGUAAUACGGAGGGGGCUAGCGUUGUUCGGAAUUACUGGGCGUAAAGCGCACGUAGGCGGCUUUGUAAGUUAGAGGUGAAAGCCCGGAGCUCAACUCCGGAAUUGCCUUUAAGACUGCAGAGCUAGCAGGUGAGAGAGGUGAGUGGAAUUCCGAGUGUAGAGGUGAAAUUCGUAGAUAUUCGGAAGAACACCAGUGGCGAAGGCGGCUUACUGGCUCAUACUGGACGCUGAGGUGCGAAAGCGUGGGGAGCAAACAGGAUUAGAUACCCCCGUAGUCCCUGUCUCUUAUAC
rnacentral:rRNA from 1 species